GCCGGGCGUGGUGGCGCGUGCCUGUAAUCCCAGCUACUCAGGAGGCUGAGGCAGGAGAAUCGCUUGAACCCAGGAGGUGGAGGUUGCAGUGAGGUGAGAUUGCACCACUGCACUCCAGCCUGGGCGACAGAGCGAGACUAGGUCUCAA
rfam:Pongo abelii chromosome 1.